ACGCAGCUUCUGCGUAAAGAGAGACGGGUUCGUGCCCACAGCUUUGACUCCCUCAGGCCUGUGCCUAGGUGCCGUGUGCCAACCGGGGAGCAGUCUUUCUACUCCUGGCUGUCCCUAAGUGAGUCAGGGAGUGGGUGUCACAGAGCUCUUUCCAGGUAUCCUGGCCUGAAGGAGGUGCCCCGGGAGGACAGGGGCACAGAAGAUCAGAGUGGUAUUUUUCUCCUGUGAGCAUCUGCACAGGUAGUUACAGAGCUGGUGGCACUCAGUGCCGGCCAGGGCUCGCUGGCUGGAUCGCCAUCAGGAAGAGAGGCCUGUGUGCUCCAAACCACAAGAUGUGCGUUUCUGACUCCUGACAGCAGCACCGUUUAAUUGAUCUCCUCUUGUGUCCUCGAUUCUCACCUCUUUCCCCGCCCCCACCCCCACCUUUGCCUCCCUCCGCUCCUUGUUGGGGUGAUUUGAAAAAAAACAUUCCAGAAAAUGGCAAGAGGCCUCUCACAAGGGGAGAGAGAAUUAAGCCAAAUUAAUUCCAGCACAAUAAGAGGAAUUAGGCUUAAUUUAAACAGGUAACAGAAAAGAACAGAGCCGGUCUCUUCCCUUUCCCGGCAACAAGCCUGCAUCAGCUGUUUUUUGCCAAAAGGCUGGGCAACAUGGCUGCCUUGGUUGCGAAGGGCCCUUCUCCCGCCGGCUCUGCAACCCCCACGUUCUCCCCGACUGGGAUUACGGUUUGCAAGUCACUGACCAUGGUUGAAUUUUAUCAUUAUUAAGGUUCAGUGCUAACCUCCUCCCCUUAUUUCCUUCCCAUUUAAAGUUUCAGGGAUAAUAAAUUCUUUUGAUUUAGCAAUUAUUGGAGUACAGAAUUAGUCAAACGCGGGCUUUGAGAACAAAGUAGAACAGGGGUUGGGUGGGCUUUGCAGAGAUGCCGCAAAUACAGGCUGGCUGCGGCAAGAUCGGGGGAAAUGGCGUUGUGUUAAGUCUGAAAUUGGAUGGGUUUUAAUUUAGGAGCGUGGCUCCAACACUCACCUCUCUGAGCAGAAAAAUAGUUAUGUUUGUGGGUGACAUAUUCCUAAAGUACAUUGUGCUAAAGCACCGUGCUGAAAUACAUUAUAUUGACUUGUCUGGGGCUGUGCUUUUCCGAGUACAACAUUGAGUUGGCUAGCAAUAAAAAUAAAUAAGAAUUA